rfam:Gossypium arboreum cultivar AKA8401 contig_5480_1, whole genome shotgun sequence.
UGUUAAAAAUUUCAUUAAUUUUUAAUUUUAAAAACUGGUAUAGCUGAUAAAAUAAUUAGAUAAUGAAAUGUGGUGCAACACAUGUACCUCAUGUUGACGUACAAAAACUAUUUUUUAACAGUAGAAAUAGAUGAAUUUUUUAACU